GUUUUGUUGGGCUUCUCCCCUCUCCAAGCAAUGAGGAUGAUAUAAUCAAAUACUCAUCAUUGAUUUGAAGAUUAAAAAACUUUCAAGUAAAAAAGGAACAACUCCGCACAUGCUGUGUGAUUCUGUAACAAUUUCCAGUUUUGAACCAAAGAUGGUUAGAAGAGACAUGCUAAUCUCACCAUUAAAUAAACAACAAAUGUCCUGUAUUCAGCUUAAAAAUGAUUUAUCUUGAGGUAAAAAUUUUAUCCUAUGCCUAGACAAGAUCAAAGAAAAGGUCAAUGUACAACCAAGCAAAUGUUGCAAAUCCACACAAUCUCUUAUUCAAUUAUGAUGACAAAAACUUGAACAAAAAUGUGGAGAGAGAUUAUAUGAAGUAUCUAAGAGAGAGAAA
rnacentral:misc_RNA from 1 species